rnacentral:rRNA from 1 species
AUGGUAUGCACUGGCUCGCUGACUCCUCCUUCUUGUAGAACCGUAAUGCCAUUAAUUUGGUGUUGCGGGGAAACAGGACUGUUACUUUGAAAAAAUUAGAGAGUUUAAAGCAGGCCAACGCCUGAAUACAUUAACAUGGAAUAAUGAAAUAGGACGUUCGAACCUAUUUUGUUGGUUUCUAGGAUUGACGUAAUGAUUAAUAGGGAUAGUUGGGGGCAUUAGUAUUCAAUUGUCAGAGGUGAAAUUCUUGGAUUUAUUGAAUACUGACUACUGCGAAAGCAUUUGCCAAGGAUGUUUUCAUUAAUCAAGAACGAAAGUUAGGGGAUCGAAGACGAUCAGAUACCGUCGUAGUCUUAACCAUAAACUAUGCCGACUAGGGAUCGGAUGAUGUUAAUUUUUUAAUGACUCAUUCAGCGCCUUACG